rnacentral:rRNA from 1 species
GAUGAACGCUGGCGGCGUGCCUAAUACAUGCAAGUCGAGCGAACGGACGAGAAGCUUGCUUCUCUGAUGUUAGCGGCGGACGGGUGAGUAACACGUGGAUAACCUACCUAUAAGACUGGGAUAACUUCGGGAAACCGGAGCUAAUACCGGAUGAUAUUUUGAACCGCAUGGUUCAAAAGUGAAAGACGGUCUUGCUGUCACUUAUAGAUGGAUCCGCGCUGCAUUAGCUAGUUGGUAAGGUAACGGCUUACCAAGGCAACGAUGCAUAGCCGACCUGAGAGGGUGAUCGGCCACACUGGGACUGAGAUACGGCCCAGACUCCUACGGGAGGCAGCAGUGGGGAAUAUUGCACAAUGGGCGCAAGCCUGAUGCAGCGACGCCGCGUGGGGGAUGACGGCCUUCGGGUUGUAAACUCCUUUCGCCAAGGACGAAGCGUUUUGUGACGGUACUUGGAGAAGAAGCACCGGCUAACUACGUG